UACGACGGGGGCUAGCGUUGCUCGGAAUCACUGGGCGGAAAGCGCACGUAGGAGGCUUGUUAAGUCAGGGGUGAAAUCCUGGAGCUCAACUCCAGAACUGCCUUUGAUACUGGCGAUCUUGAGUCCGGGAGAGGUGAGUGGAACUGCGAGUGUAGAGGUGAAAUUCGUAGAUAUUCGCAAGAACACCAGUGGCGAAGGCGGCUCACUGGCCCGGUACUGACGCUGAGGUGCGAAAGCGUGGGGAGCAAACAGG
rnacentral:rRNA from 1 species